CCAUCAGAGAAACCAUGACAAUUCAGGAAGUCAGUGAGGUGAUGCAUUGUGCUACUGUUGGGUUUCCUUAGACAUUUUUUAACCAAAUUGAACAAUAAACUAAACUCGAUAGCAUUGUUUGACCGCUAGGUUCAAUUUAAAUUGUAUGUAAUUGAAAAAUGUGUAGCAAAACUACUCCUAGAAGCACAGCAGUUAUGCCUACUAUCCUAAACAUAAUAUUUGACUGUUUACUGCCUAAAAAUCUUAAUAAGAUAACAAGAAAUGAUUUAUGUAAGACUAGACGUAGUAGGCAAAGUACAAAUGAAUAAUAGACGUCAUGUGACGGGGCCGUGGGACUCGUCCUGUCUCCCUCCUCUGUCCUCCUGCUGCAGCCGGUGACUGACGGAGAGAGAGGCAGGGGGCUGGACCGCAGGAGAGCAGCCUGGAAACAGUAAACCCUGCACGGCGACACCUGCAGACAUUAACUCCUCGUGCUGAUUUUAGUUUUUUUUUUCCCCCAGUACAAAAAGAAAGAAGGAGAAGAAAAAAAAAAAACCGCGGAUGAAACCGAAGCAACUGGUGCGGAAUGAGGGCGUGAGAGUUGCGGGAAUGUACGGAAAGCCGAAGCGAGACUGAAUUAACAGAAAGUUCUGCGACAGACGACAGCGGAGACGACAUCAGGUAUCUGGUGGAUGGGUGGAAAAUGGAGGUGAACAGACAAGAGGUUCCUUUAUAUAACUAGCCUUCCAAGCACUGGUUGACUGGUGAGACUUGUGUCGCUGAUGAAACCCAAGCCAGGAGCGUUUUAGUCCCAAGGGAAGCCAGACCUUUAACAAGCUGUUUGCCGAAUGAACAUAACCUCUAAAAGCAUGACUUCUCCUAAACACGAAGGCCACGGUGCAGGAAUAAACUCGUCUGAGUGG